GGAAAGGUGCCCGAGAGGCCGAAGGGGCACGAUUGGAAAUCGUGUGUAGCGUAAGUUACCGAGGGUUCGAAUCCCUCCCUUUCCG
rnacentral:tRNA from 1 species